rfam:Oryza glumipatula chromosome 10, whole genome shotgun sequence.
UUUAAUUAUAGUCGUAGGUUUCUGCGUCCAACAUUUGACCGUCUGUCUUAUUUGAAAUAUUUUAUGAUUAAUAUUUUUAUUGUUAUUAGACGAUAAAACAUGAACAAUACUUUAUGUGUGGCUUAUUUUUUUAAUUUUUUCAUAAAAUUUUCAAAUAAGAUGGAUGAUCAAACGUUGGACAAAAAAACCCACAACUACGUUUAAA